rnacentral:rRNA from 1 species
GAUGAACGCUGGCGGCGUGCCUAAUACAUGCAAGUCGAGCGAACGGACGAGAAGCUUGCUCCUCUGACGUUAGCGGCGGACGGGUGAGUAACACGUGGAUAACCUACCUAUAAGACUGGGAUAACUUCGGGAAACCGGAGCUAAUACCGGAUGAUAUUUUGAACCGCAUGGUUCAAUAGUGAAAGACGGUUUUGCUGUCACUUAUAGAUGGAUCCGCGCCGCAUUAGCUAGUUGGUAAGGUAACGGCUUACCAAGGCGACGAUGCGUAGCCGACCUGAGAGGGGGAUCCGCCACACUGGAACUGGGACACGGGCCAGACUCCUAAGGGAGGCAGCAGUGGGGAAUAUUACGCAAUGGGCGGAAGCCUGACCGAGGCAACGCGCGUGAGUGAAGAAGGUCUUCGGGUUGGAAAACCCUUUUAUUGGGGAAGAAAAAAAGUUGAAGUAAACAUGGCCGUUCUGAAGGUACCCAAUGAAGAAGCCCCGGCUAACUUCGUG